rnacentral:sRNA from 1 species
AUUUAAAAUUAUAAUAGUUACUAAGCAGAUUUAAGUCUUAGAAUAUAAAAUAAUUGCAAACAACAUUAUGAGCUUUAAUAAAAACCAAGUUUUUGCAUAAAAUACUUGAGUUUUAAUAUCAAUCAAUUUUAUAAUUGUUGAUUGAAAUAGGUAGAAGAUUAUUUUUUCUCUUAAAUUUUAGUUUUGGUAAUUUUACUAUCAGUAAAAUAUAAUAUUUAUAAAAUAAAUAUAAAUCGAUCCAUAUUUUUGCUACCAAUCUGUUUUUAAUAGUUUUAAGCUUAUUUUAGCUAAGCAGAUUGAUAACUAAAUCUGUGAUUUUAGUACUUAGUUUGAUAAUUUUUUAAAUGGACGUGG